AGGGGUAGGGGAGCGUUGUAUAAGGGUUGAAGGUGUACCGUAAGGAGCGCUGGACAUUAUACAAGUGAGAAUGCCGGUAUGAGUAACGAAAAGAUCAGUGAGAAUCUGAUCCGCCGAAAGCCUAAGGGUUCCUGAGGAAGGCUCGUCCGCUCAGGGUAAGUCGGGACCUAAGGCGAGGCCGAAAGGCGUAGUCGAAGGACAACAGGUCGAAAUUCCUGUACCACCGUAAAUCGUUACGAGCGAUGGGGGGACGCAGUAGGGUAGUGACGCAGGCUGAUGGAUGCCUGUCCAAGCAGUAAGGCUGAUGUGUAGGCAAAUCCGCACAUCUAAGGCUGAGCUGUGAUGGGGAGUGAAAAUUACAGUAGCGAAGGUCAUGAUCUCACACUGCCAAGAAAAGCCUCUAGCCAGAUGAAGGUGCCCGUACCGCAAACCGACACAGGUAGGCGAGAAGAGAAUUCUAAGGCGCGCGGAAGAACUCUCGUUAAGGAACUCGGCAAAAUGACCCCGUAACUUCGGGAGAAGGGGUGCCCCGGUAGUGUGAAUAGCACGAGGGGGCCGCAGUGAAAAGGCCCAAGCGACUGUUUAGCAAAAACACAGGUCUGUGCGAAGCCGUAAGGCGAAGUAUACGGGCUGACGCCUGCCCGGUGCUGGAAGGUUAAGGGGAGCGGUUAGGAGUAAUCCGAAGCUGUGAACCGAAGCCCCAGUAAACGGCGGCCGUAACUAUAACGGUCCUAAGGUAGCGAAAUUCCUUGUCAGGUAAAUUCUGACCCGCACGAAUGGCGUAACGACUUGGGCGCUGUCUCAACGAGAGAUCCGGUGAAAUUUUAAUACCUGUGAAGAUGCAGGUUACCCGCGACAAGACGGAAAGACCCCAUGGAGCUUUACUGCAGCUUGAUAUUGAAUUUGGGUACGAUCUGUACAGGAUAGGUGGGAGCCUUUGAAGCAUGAGCGCCAGCUUGUGUGGAGGCACCGUUGGGAUACCACCCUGAUCGUAUCUAGGUUCUAACCUGGUGCCCUAAGCGGGUACGGGGACAGUGUCAGGUGGGCAGUUUGACUGGGGCGGUCGCCUCC
rnacentral:rRNA from 1 species